GCAUGAUUUUGGCCAGGUGACCUAAUGUCCGCACCAUGAUUGGAUGGACACAAGCUUAAGACACCGUGCCAGACCAAGAUCGGCGCCCAGUUCAGUACCUACCAAUGAUGGAAGACUGAGAGCUAGAAGGCAGAAGUAGAUGAUCACGAGGAGGGUUUACGUGGUACUGUUGUUCUGUUAGUGAAUCUAUUGAUUGUGCUCACUUGCCCACGCCCAUCGGGAACUUGAACAGAUCCUGGAGUUUAAUAAACACCACUCUGGUUGCAAACAGUGGUUGUGUUUGAUUGGAAUUCAAAAGAAGGUUUUUCCUUAACACUGGCAAGCUAGUCCUGAUUGACAGAUCGAAGCCAUGCAGCCAAACAAAUAAUGUAGUUACCAGGGAAGAACUUCAGAAAAAAAGAAUUCUGCACUGAGAUAUUUCAGACCAUCUCUCCCAGCCAGAGAAACCAGACAACAGAAAUAACUAGACACUCUCCCAAAACAAAAUGUCAGCCGAAGCAGAUUCAUCUGGAAGUAGCAAGGAGCCAAAGCUGGAUCAAUUACCUUCUACGGUCGAUGAGGGUUUUAAAAUAGUGAAUGGCAGAAUUGAUGCAUUGGGAGUCAAAAUGGAAGGUCUCAUAAGCGAUAUUAAAACUCUUACAGAUGCUGUGAAGAAAGAAUUCCUAGAAGGCGCCAAAGAAGGAUGAUCCAUCCUCACCAUCAUCCCCUACCUGACCUGAUCAAUAGCUCCUUCGGAAAAAUAGCUUAGGGGUAUGUCUUCUCAAGGGGAGCACUUUAUUUUGGAAGAAUAGGCCCACCACUAGUUACAUUAGUGAACCCUGGCACUUAAAAACAAGCUUGUAAGAUGUUUGG